CAAUUAUUUAUGCACCCAUACCUUAACAGUACUCUCUUCAGAGUCUAACACACUUAGUCCAGCGUUCUUCCCAUUUCUGGAAACACCCUUGGAAGUAUUCAAAACUCUUCAACGCCCACGUUACAGCACUUUGAAUGUCCUCCAAAUCCUAUAUCGAUGUCUUUUUAAUGGUUCCUUCAACUUUGGAAGUAGCCAAGAGUCCGGUAGAGCCAGAUCAUUGCUGUACGGGGGAGCCUUGUAAUGUUCCUACUGGUCAAAAGCUGCUAAACUUUUAGUCAUG